rnacentral:tRNA from 1 species
AUUUAAAUAGCUUAAAUUAGAGAGCAUAAUAUUGAAGAUAUUAGGGUAAUAUUAUUAUAUUUUUAAAUA